GGGGGGUAAUACUGUAUAAUCCCUGCGGAGGAAAGAUUAAUCGCUAUUAGAUGAGCCUAUGUUAGAUUAGCUAGUUGGUAGGGUAAAGGCCUACCAAGGCAGUGAUCUAUAGCUGGUCUGAGAGGAUGAUCAGCCACACUGGAACUGAGAUACGGUCCAGACUCCUACGGGAGGCAGCAGUGGGGAAUAUUGGACAAUGGGCGCAAGCCUGAUCCAGCUAUGCCGCGUGAGUGAGGAAGGCCUUAGGGUUGUAAAACUCUUUCAGUGGGGAAGAUAAUGACGGUACCCACAGAAGAAGUCCCGGCAAACUCCGUGCCAGCAGCCGCGGUAAUACGGAGGGGGCAAGCGUUGUUCGGAAUUAUUGGGCGUAAAGGGCAUGUAGGCGGUUCGGUAAGUUAAAGGUGAAAUGCCAGGGCUUAACCCUGGAGCUGCUUUUAAUACUGCCAGACUCGAGUCCGGGAGAGGAUAGCGGAAUUCC
rnacentral:rRNA from 1 species